CUGCCACCGGCCGCCAUCUUGGGCGUGAAGGAGAUGACCUUAAGACAACAGGAUUGUCCUGGUAAAGCCAGCAUGUGCUCAGCAGAGAGCCGUGUCCCACUUGCUUGGUGUUAGCUGUGAGCUGCCUUGUGAUCUGGUCCUGGGUUUGAAUUCUGGCUCUGCCUCUCAAGAGCUAUGUGGAAAAAUGAACCUGAAGCUCAGAGAAGGGAAAAAAAAAAACUAGCUCAAGGUCAUAUGAUGAAUGCAUGAAUAAAGCAUUUAUUAAGCAUUUGCUCUAUGCAAAGCUAAGUACUGGAGAUACAAAUAGAAAAGGAAGAUAGUUCCUGCCCUCAAGGAGCUCACACUCUAAUGGAGGAGACAACACAUAAUGGAAGUCAGACGUUAAAGUCCCAAGCUCCUUAGGGUGCAGCCCCAAAGUAGAGGUUAAUGCCUCUUCUUUUAUGUCACUUCCACCAAUAAAAAUCAUGCCAGUGUCA